rnacentral:rRNA from 1 species
AGCAGCCGCGGUAAUUCCAGCUCCAAUAGCGUAUAUUAAAGUUGUUGCAGUUAAAAAGCUCGUAGUUGAAUUUCGGGGUCGGUAGGUUGGUCAUGCCUCUGGUAUGCACUGGUCUCACUGAUUCCUCCUUCCUGAUGAGCCGUAAUGCCAUUAAUUUGGUGUUGCGAGGAAUCUGGACUGUUACUUUGAAAAAAUUAGAGUGUUUAAAGCAAGCUGACGCUUGAAUACAUUAGCAUGGAAUAAUGGAAUAGGACGUUCGAUCCUAUUUUGUUGGUUUCUAGGAUUGACGUAAUGAUUAAUAGGGAUAGUUGGGGGCAUUAGUAUUCAAUUGUCAGAGGUGAAAUUCUUGGAUUUAUUGAAGACUAACUACUGCGAAAGCAUUUGCCAAGGAUGUUUUCACUAAUCAAGAACGAAAGUUAGGGGAUCGAAGACGAUCAGAUACCGUCGUAGUCUUAACCAUAAACUAUGCCGACUAGGGAUCGGAUGAUGUUAAUUUUUUAAUGACUCAUUCGGCGCCUUACG